rnacentral:rRNA from 1 species
AAUGAACGUUGGCGGCGUGGAUUAGGCAUGCAAGCCGUACGCACAGCUUCGGCUGUGAGUGGCGCAAGGGUGAGUAAUGCGAAGGUAACCAACCCUGGAGUUGGGCAUAACCGCGGGAAACUGCGGGUAAUUCCCAGCGAUGUCGCGAGAUGGCAUCAUCUUGCGACCAAAGGUGUGAUUCCGCUCUAGGACGGGCCUUCGUGGUAUUAGGUAGUUGGUGAGGUAACGGCUCACCAAGCCGACGAUGCCUACCGGGUGUGAGAGCAUGACCCGGCACACUGGAACUGAGACACUGUCCAGACACCUACGGGUGGCUGCAGUCGAGAAUCUUCGGCAAUGGGCGAAAGCCUGACCGAGCGACGCCGCGUGAGGGAAGAAGGCCUCGGUUGUAAC